rnacentral:rRNA from 1 species
UACGUAGGGGGCGAGCGUUGUCCGGAUUUAUUGGGCGUAAAGAGCUCGUAGGCGGUUUGGUAAGUCGGGUGUGAAAUCUCCACGCUCAACGUGGAGGGGCCACUCGAUACUGCCAUGACUCGAGUCCGGUAGAGGAGUGUGGAAUUCCCGGUGUAGCGGUGAAAUGCGCAGAUAUCAGGAGGAACACCAAUGGCGAAGGCAGCACUCUGGGACGUGACUGACGCUGAGACGCGAAAGCGUGGGGAGCAAACAGG